rnacentral:rRNA from 1 species
AUUGAACGCUGGCGGCAUGCUUUACACAUGCAAGUCGAACGGUAACGGGGACUUCGGUCUGCCGACGAGUGGCGAACGGGUGAGUAAUAUAUCGGAACGUGCCCAGUAAUGGGGGAUAGCUCGGCGAAAGCCGGAUUAAUACCGCAUACGCCCUGAGGGGGAAAGUGGGGGAUCUUCGGACCUCACGUUAUUGGAGCGGCCGAUAUCAGAUUAGCUAGUUGGUGGGGUAAAGGCCUACCAAGGCGACGAUCUGUAGCUGGUCUGAGAGGAUGAUCAGCCACACUGGGACUGAGACACGGCCCAGACUCCUACGGGAGGCAGCAGUAGGGAAUUUUCCGCAAUGGGCGAAAGCCUGACGGAGCAAUACCGCGUGAGGGAUGACGGCCUGUGGGUUGUAAACCUCUUUUCUCAAGGAAGAAGUUCUGACGGUACUUGAGGAAUAAGCAUCGGCUAACUCUGUGCCAGCAGCCGCGGU